UGAGUAAUGUCUGGGAAACUGCCCGAUGGAGGGGGAUAACUACUGGAAACGGUAGCUAAUACCGCAUAACGUCUUCGGACCAAAGUGGGGGACCUUCGGGCCUCACACCAUCGGAUGUGCCCAGAUGGGAUUAGCUAGUAGGUGGGGUAAUGGCUCACCUAGGCGACGAUCCCUAGCUGGUCUGAGAGGAUGACCAGCCACACUGGAACUGAGACACGGUCCAGACUCCUACGGGAGGCAGCAGUGGGGAAUAUUGCACAAUGGGCGCAAGCCUGAUGCAGCCAUGCCGCGUGUAUGAAGAAGGCCUUCGGGUUGUAAAGUACUUUCAGUGGGGAGGAAGGCGUUAAGGUUAAUAGCCUUGGCGAUUGACGUUACCCGCAGAAGAAGCACCGGCUAACUCCGUGCCAGCAGCCGCGGUAAUACGGAGGGUGCAAGCGUUAAUCGGAAUUACUGGGCGUAAAGCGCACGCAGGCGGUCUGUCAAGUCGGAUGUGAUAUCCCCGGG
rnacentral:rRNA from 1 species